rfam:Pseudohongiella acticola strain KCTC 42131 KCTC42131_S2, whole genome shotgun sequence.
GGGGCGUUAGCUCAGCGGUAGAGCAGUUGGCUUUUAACCAAUUGGUCGAUGGUUCGAAUCCAUCACGCCCCA